rnacentral:lncRNA from 7 species
AGGAAACUUAUGAUUGAACUGAAUACAACAUCUCUGCAUAGACUGUAGCUGAAAUUUGUGUUUGUGGCACAGUUGCUUGGCACAGUUAUACACAGUUAUAAGCGUACCAGAAAGAAGUGUAAGACAUUUGCUUCAAUGAAAGUAUGGUGCAAUGCUUAAUGCUUAUAUUCAGAUGGUGUUUUGUGCUGGAAAAGAUGUUUAUAAGCACAAGAGUGUUAUUCGUCUGGCAAAUUAAUAUUCAUAAGUGGUCAAAGGAAUAAAAUGUUGGUGUCACAGCAGAUAUUCUUGCAUAAUUUUCUUAGAAGUUAUAAUCGCUUUUUCCCUUUGCAAGUGGUUUUCAUUGUUUGAACAUUUUGUUUACCUAUAAGCCAGUUUGUAAGAUAAUAUUCAAAUCAACUUGGAGAGAUAACAGGAGUUUCCAGACAGCCAUAGUUUUAUAUACAUUUUUAAAGACUUUCCUCAGAUGAGAAGAACUGCCUUGGGGACUACUAUGGGAAUGCCAGGAUCAGGAUAGACGGGUCUGCAACCUGAUGAAAGUACACCAGCCUGAGUUCCUCUCUGUAUUGUGUAUCAUAUCUGCAAGAUCUAGGGAAGCAGCGAAGUGGCUAAAACACUACUGAUUCAUCUUUUGCUUCUCGCUUCACCCAGAUGGGAAAGUUGAAACAGGGUAGAAAGACAGUGGAAGAAUUCUUUAAGAAUAAAUGUUAACUUUCUUUGGAUGUAGCAGAUAUUUAGGUGUUGAAACUUCAUGCCAAACACUCUCUUCUGCUUCUGAUUUCCUUCCAUCUCCUUUGCCGUCAUAUUCCACAGCACGAGUCUUGUACUUUGGAAUAAAGCAGAGAGUCAUUUCAGAGUAGGGUGGUUUAAAAUGUAUGUGUAUAAUCAAAUUCAAACCAAGACUUAUAUGUGGAAAAUCCCUAUUUCAUGCUCUUGAGUGGUAUGAGGCUGAAGGUUAAAAAGAAUAUUGUCUUCAUAAAAACCUGCAAUAAAACUGCUUGUGUUGCACUGAGGCUGGGGUUUCAUCCUAUAAGUCUGCAGAAAAGUGCAGAUUCUUCUAUUUUGGGUUGCUAUAUUUUCACUUUAUCUUUCAUAUCUCCAAGCUGAGUGGUGUUUACCACAUGGUUUCAUCUGCUAAAGUGAGCUGAAGUUGCAGAUACACUGUGGAUUCUUGACACUUCCAUAUUUUCCAGAAUGGCUACUAAACUAUUAGUUUAAAUGUAUUUUUCUGUCUCUAUCUGCUUGCUGCUUUGAUUUUGUUAAAGUGAAUAUUUUUGGGGUGUAAGGAAUCCAUUUCUCCAUAGAGCAUUUCAUCAAAUAGCUAAGAAAUGAAGAUCCCGUGAUCAUACUGUUCAUUUUAGGGCUCAGAGAAAUAAUCACCUUAAGCUGCUAUGGAAAGAGCUAGUAAGGGAGGUAACAUAAGGAGUGGAAAAAUAAACUUCUGUGAAGGAUGGAGGAGAGCAGAAGAUGUUAACAUGAGAGUAGAACAGAGAAAAAGGAAAAAAAUUGAUUAGAGAGAAGAAAACUAAUGUGCUACAUGCACAUAUAUGUCCGCAGAUGCUGGAAUGAUUGGCAUGGCAUACAAGAGAGCAAAACCAAUGUAAUGAUUAAGCAAGCCAAAAGUCAUGUUCUAACCAGAGUUUGGACUGUAUAUAUCUCAUAUCUUCCUCCAGCCCUUUCAGACAUAGAUUAGAUUGCAUGCUUUUUAGCAGUGGUGAAAAGGGCAUGGUCAAGUUGGUAUUAGUUUAAAAAACAAAGCAUUUAUUCAUUUGGCAUUCGUCUGUCUGAGCUCUGGUAAUUAUUUAAUGUUGCUGUGAAUGUACUAACCAAUCAAAUGGGCUACUCAGUUUUAUAACAUUUAAAUAUGCCCUUUAAAAUCCUUUUACCAUGUUUUGUAAGUGAGAAAAAAGUAUAUUUUAAAUAUUGAAAAAUGUGAAAUGAACUGUGUGUGCUUUCUUUUAUGUAAACAGACAAUUUCAAUGCAAGUUAUGCCAAAUAACAAAUAUCUCAUGUUUACUAAACCAAGUUCUCUAGGAAUAUAAUUUUCUGCUUAUUAUUCUAGUAAAGGCAAUGUUAGUGCACUUUGCUAUUACUGUAGAGAUCGUAAAUAACAUGCUCACGUGUUC